GAAACUAACUAGGAUUCCCUUAGUAACGGCGAGUGAACCGGGAUGAGCUCAAAUUUAAAAUCUGGCGUCUUUCAGGCGUCCGAGUUGUAAUCUAUAGAGGCGUUUUCCGCGCCGGACCGCGUCCAAGUCUCUUGGAAUAGAGUAUCAAAGAGGGUGACAAUCCCGUACUUGACGCGACAACCGGUGCUCUGUGAUACGUUCUCAAUGAGUCGAGUUGUUUGGGAAUGCAGCUCUAAAUGGGUGGUAAAUUCCAUCUAAGGCUAAAUAUUGGCGAGAGACCGAUAGCGAACAAGUACCGUGAGGGAAAGAUGAAAAGCACUUUGGAAAGAGAGUUAAACAGCACGUGAAAUUGUUAAAAGGGAAACGAUUGAAGUCAGUCGUGUGAAAGGUAUUCAGCCGUCUCUGGCGGUGUAUUUGCCUUUCACGGGUCAACAUCAGUUUGAUCCGGUAGAAAAAGGCGGGAGGAAGGUGGCACCCUCGGGUGUGUUAUAGCCUCCUGUCAUAUGUGCCGGACCAGACUGAGGAACGCAGCUUGCCGCAAGGCCGGGGUUCGCCCACGUACAAGCUUA
rnacentral:rRNA from 1 species